UGUGAUUUUUGUUUAGGAAUGUUUGAUUAUGGCUUUACAAUCUGAUUCUAGUGAACGUUGCAUUAAUAUUAGAGGAAUUGAGGUUUUUUUAAGUCUAAAAAGUCCAAAUUAGCAUAAAUUUUAGAGAAAACAAGCGAUUGUGUUCUAGUGCAUUAGAUAUGGGUGGCCAAGCGAAUGCCAGCAGCUGCGGUUAUAUUUGUGCCUGUAAAGAUUGUAAGCGGAUAGGUUAGAGGUAAAGUUACAUUAAGAAAAGUAAAGGUAAAAUAAUUAAGUAGGUGGAAUUUAAAUCUUUAUUUGAGGCUCUUUUUAUUUCUUUUAAAUUUCUUACUUGACUAAGGAAAUAAACUAGGAUUGGAUACCCUAUUAUUCUUAGAGUAAAUGACACACUUCUUCACAACUAUGUAUUAGACUACUAAAGGGAAAUAAAUAGGCGGUGUAAAAGAUAAAAAGCAGGGGAACCUGGGUAUUAAAGGACGGUCCACCAAGAUUGUUCCUUUUCUUAAUAAGCAUCUGUAUGGUUCUUUACCCUUAUUUGUAAGCUUUUGGGUAAAACUUAUAUAGUGGUUUUUAAUAGCCUUUAUUGAAAGCUGGGUUUUAUACUGAGCAACCAAAGUUUUAUAAAAGUCUUCUAAUGUAAUAGUUCUAUAUUUGCUCAGUAUAAACGGUGUUUUAAAUUAACUUAUUAGUGUAUAAUAAAAAAUACCGUUGUUAUGCCAUUAAAAUAAUUGAGAUUGACAUGGGGCAGUGAAAAGGCUUUUCUGGGUUACAUUUGUGUUACAAAUAAUGUUAGAAAAGUUUUAACUAUCUAAUAAUUAUCGGACGAUAGAAGGCCUAAUAAAUUUUCUUUGAAGAUGUACUUGCAAGUAAAAAGAGUUUAUAAUGCUUUUUUGAAUCCUCUUUUAUGAGUACUAAUCGCCCGCCAACUGCCGAGAAAUUGGGGGUAAGGCGUAACAAGGUAGCUGUACCGGAAGGUGUAGCUAAAUUGGAGAGCAGUCAAUAUGUUGAUUUGAACUCAGUGUUAAAAUGUUUUUCAUUUACUGCUUUGUUUGGAGCUGUUUUUAAUUUCAGUUGUUCUGUUUUUUUUUUU
rnacentral:rRNA from 1 species